rnacentral:rRNA from 1 species
UACGUAGGGGGCUAGCGUUAUCCGGAUUUAUUGGGCAUAAAGGGCACGCAGGCGGUGAUUUAAGUCAGAUGUAAAAUCCUACAGCUCAACUGUAGUUGGCAUUUGAUACUGGAUCACUAGAGAUCAGGAGAGGAAAGUGGAACUCAUAGUGUAGCGGUGAAAUGCGUAGAUAUUAUGAGGAACACCAGUGGCGAAGGCGGCUUUCUGGACUGAUUCUGACGCUCAGGUGCGAAAGCGUGGGGAGCAAACGGG